UACGUAGGAGGCAAGCGUUGUCCGGAAUUACUGGGCGUAAAGCGCGUGUAGGUGGUGGGACAAGUCUGCUGUGAAAGCGCCUGGCUUAACCGGGCGAGGUCGGCGGAAACUGUCCGACUCGAGGACGGUAGAGGGGGGUGGAAUUCCCGGUGUAGUGGUGAAAUGCGUAGAGAUCGGGAGGAACACCUGUGGCGAAGGCGGUCCCCUGGGCCGGCCCUGACACUGAGACGCGAAGGCGUGGGGAGCGAACGGG
rnacentral:rRNA from 1 species